GCGGUUGCCAUAGGGGGGCUGAGCCCGCCCUAAAUGAAAUUCUUUCACCUCUUGCGUCACCCGGACGUCUUCCGGGCCGCGGAGCCCAGGCCGCUUCGCCCUCGCCCUCGUGUGGACACAGGACUCGAAGGCCGCUUUCACAACCGGAGGAAGCUGGGAGGUGGCCAGGGCUGGGCUCAGGCCCUGUGUGGGAGGGAGAUGGGGUACAGGAAGGGAAGCGACCCGAGCACCCCUGCCCUCCCAGCUUCUCCUCUCCCUCUUCCUCCUCCUCCUCGUUUGAGCUGGUGGUUGAACCCAGGGCCUCACGGGCCAAACUGCCAGCCCCAGACCGCAAGGACAGGCGCGAGUUCCAAGUCGAUUCCCAGAGCUGGGAGUGUCAGCCCUCCGUAAAAAUGAAGUCAGAAAACUCGAGGCAGUUGAAAGGACUUCAUGCAUGAUAUGGAGUUCUCAAGGGAAGAAAUCAUGGCACACACCUGUAAUCCCAACGCUCAGGAGGCUGAGGCAGGAGCAUUGCCACAAGUUCGAGGCCAGCCUGGGCUACAUAGCAAGACCCUGUCUCAAAAAAGAGAAAAAGUCAAGAGAAGAAAUAAAAGGACCCCCCAUAACUAACUCAUCAUAUAAUGAAUCCCUUUGGCCAAUUCCGGCAGAACUGAUAUGGAAUCAAAUUCAGAGCCUCAUGCUUGCCAGCCAGGAGCUGCACCGCUGAACUACAUCCCCAGCCUGCCAACAUGUUCUAAUAAAAUUUUUUUUCGGUACCGGGGAUCAACCUUGUGCUUGUGAGGCAGGCGCCAGAACCACUGAGCUAAAUCCCCGGCCUCUAACAAAAGUUUUUAUCCGUUGCCUGCCUUGCAGGUGCAAGGACCUGAGUUUAAUCCCCGGUACCCCCCCCAAAAUUUUUAAAAAUUAUUUUAAAAAAUAAAAAAGAAGUUUCCUCUUUCCUACCAUCAGUGUAGCUCUGCAAAGGUGUGCACACAUACAGAGUUGACCGUUUAAUUGCAGUAAUUAUGUUCUAUAAAUUUGGCACAAACCUUGAAUUCACAAAUAUUCCUCCUAAGGGAAAUGCAGGGUUAGGGUCUUGCAAAACUCUAGUCAUUAUGUUUUCAACUGAUUAAUACAUAGGGGUUUUUGUUUGGUUGGUUAUUUUUUUAUUUUUGUUUUCAGUUGGUUGUUUUUGUUUUGUUCAUUAAACCCAGGACCUUCAAACUGAGCUACAUCCCCAGCCCUUUUUAUUUUUUAUUUAUUUAUUUUUUGGUACCGGGGAUCGAACUCAGGACCUUGCGCUUUUGAGGCAGGUGCCAGAACCACUGAACUAAAUCCCCGGCCCUCCCCAGCCCUUUUUAAACUUUUAAAAUUUUGAGACAGGG
rnacentral:lncRNA from 1 species